rnacentral:rRNA from 1 species
UACGUAGGGUGCGAGCGUUGUCCGGAAUUAUUGGGCGUAAAGAGCUCGUAGGCGGUUUGUCGCGUCUGCUGUGAAAUCCCGAGGCUCAACCUCGGGUCUGCAGUGGGUACGGGCAGACUGGAGUGCGGUAGGGGAGAAUGGAAUUCCUGGUGUAGCGGUGGAAUGCGCAGAUAUCAGGAGGAACACCGAUGGCGAAGGCAGGUCUCUGGGCCACUACUGACGCUGAGAAGCGAAAGCAUGGGGAGCGAACAGG